GACGAACGCUGGCGGCGUGCUUAACACAUGCAAGUCGAGCGGAGCGGCGAACGGGUGAGCAACGCGUGAGUAAUUGCCACCCUCUCUGGGAUAACAGAUGGAAACGGCUGAUAAUACCGGAAAGUGGGGGAUGACUCGCGUCCUAUCAGAUUGUUGGUGGGGUAGUGGCCUACCAAGGCGACGACGGGUAGCCGGACUGGGAGGGCGACCGGCCACAUUGGGCUGAGGUACGGCCCAAACUGCUACGGGCGGCAUCAGUGGGGACUAUUGCGCAAUGGGGGGAACCCUGAUGCACCAACGCCGCGGGCGGAAUGACGGCCUUCGGGUUGGAAACCGCUUUCAGCCAUGACGCGGUAGUGGCAGAAGAAGCACCGGCUAACUACGUGCCAGCAGCCGCGGUAAUAC
rnacentral:rRNA from 1 species